rnacentral:rRNA from 1 species
AUUGAACGCUAGCGGCAUGCCUUACACAUGCAAGUCGAACGGCAGCACGGGGCAACCUGGUGGCGAGUGGCGCACGGGUGAGUAAUGUAUCGGAACGUGCCCAGUAGCGGGGGAUAACUACGCGAAAGCGUAGCUAAUACCGCAUACGCCCUACGGGGGAAAGGGGGGGAUCGCAAGACCUCUCACUAUUGGAGCGGCCGAUAUCGGAUUAGCUAGUUGGUGAGGUAAAGGCUCACCAAGGCUUCGAUCCGUAGCUGGUUUGAGAGGACGACCAGCCACACUGGGACUGAGACACGGCCCAGACUCCUACGGGAGGCAGCAGUGGGGAAUUUUGGACAAUGGGGGCAACCCUGAUCCAGCAAUGCCGCGUGUGCGAAGAAGGCCUUCGGGUUGUAAAGCACUUUUGGCGGGAACGAAACGGUGCCGGAUAAUACCUGGCGCCACUGACGGUACCCGCAGAAUAAGCACCGGCUAACUACGUG